UACGUAGGGGGCAAGCGUUGUCCGGAUUUAUUGGGCGUAAAGAGCGUGUAGGCGGCCGUACAGGUCAGCUGUGAAAACUCGAGGCUCAACCUCGAGACGUCGGUUGAAACCGUACGGCUAGAGUCCGGAAGAGGAGAGUGGAAUUCCCGGUGUAGCGGUGAAAUGCGCAGAUAUCGGGAAGAACACCCGUGGCGAAGGCGGCUCUCUGGGACGGUACUGACGCUGAGACGCGAAGGCCAGGGAGAGCAA
rnacentral:rRNA from 1 species